GAACAUCAGUAUAGCCUUCAGUAGAGGUGGUUCGAACAAACAAGUAGAACAGCAGUGAAAAGGAGAAAGAAGAAAAGGGGCAAGGAAGAGAAGGUAAUGGAUGGACGUAGAAAAAAAAACUCUCCGCAAGCGAAGAGACACAAAGGAAGGGGAAAGGAGAGAGUUAACGAGGAUGAAAAUGUAAAUGAGGAAGAAACUGAAAACAAGAGUAAAGAUAGAUAUAAAAA